GGUUUAAUUCGAUGAUACGCGAGGAACCUUAACCUGGGCUAGAACGCAGAAUGACAGAUGCCGAAAGGUGUUUCCCAGCAAUGGCAUUUUGCGAGGUGCUGCAUGGUUGUCGUCAGCUCGUGCCGUGAGGUGUCGGGUUAAGUCCCAUAACGAGCGCAACCCCUAUUGUUAGUUGCCAGCGGGUAAUGCCGGGAUCUCUAACGAAACUGCCGGUGUAAACCGGAGGAAGGUGGGGGAUGACGUCAAAUCAGCACGGCCCUUAUGUCCAGGGCUACACACGUGUUACAAUGGCCGAUACAACGGGCAGCCACCUGGUGACAGGGAGCUAAUCCUAAAAGUCGGUCUCAGUUCGGAUCGAAGUCUGCAACCCGACUUCGUGAAGCUGGAUUCGCUAGUAAUCGCAGAUCAGCCAUGCUGCGGUGAAUACGUUCCCGGGCCUU
rnacentral:rRNA from 1 species